UUCAGUUAAGAGCACAGCCAGGCAUACACUCUGGGGACAGACAAUCUGGUUCAAAUGCCAGUUCAGCCACGGUUUCUCUCUGAGACCUUGAGAGAGUUGCUUCAUCUCUCUGCUUCGUGAAGAAAAUGUAAGGAGGGCGGUACGACAUCUACCCGACAGGCUUGUUAUAAGAAUAAAUGCUUUACUAUGCCUGUGUGUUAACUGUUUUCAGUCUAGAUAAUCAGAGAAAAGAGUACCCAAGAAUGUUGAAAAAAUCCAGUGACGGAGGCAGGAGAAAAUCCAUUCUGCAACUGUUGACGGCGAUUUUGGCAGCCAGACAUGCAGCCCUGGGGAGCGCCUGCCUUGGACAUCUUCAUUCUCCUUACACCUCUGGAGCUGUUGUGAUCAGCCUUCCACCCACUGCAGAUGAUUGUAUGACUAAGAACAAACUAACACCCAGCACGGAGACCUGAACAUAAAGCCUGAGGUAACGGAAAAGAACACUGGGGCGAAGGUGUUACUUGGCAACAAAAGAAGAAGAAACAAAACAGCAGCUUCAAUCAAAUACCACCACCAUCAUCUCAUCCUGGAUUCAGUUGUUGUGGCGAACAGUUGGUAGAGUGGUUAGGGGAGAAAAAAAACUCCAACUCUGUUUGUUUCCUUUGUUUUCUUUCCAUCAGAUUUUUCUUGCAUUUAGUGUUUUGAGCUGGAACUUUUACUCCAGACUCCUCUUCGGUUGUUCUGAAACUUGGUUUUAGGAAUUAUUCUUCCUUCACUUUCUUCUGUCCUCCCUUAUCACCCCGCCCCCACCGCCAUGCUCAGGCCCUCAUCCCCCCCCCUCCCCCCAGGUUUCUCUCCCCCUCAUUGUGUCAGGAUAGCUGAGUUCAGAUGUUUGGGAGGAGCACUCUGCUUUUCCUUUGCUUCUAGACAGACUUAAAAUUAAUUCCAGCUUCUUUACACCUAUUUCUUUAAAAAAUGUGUCCACAUGGGUCUCUUUUCAAAUGGAAACAAUCUCUUUGAAAGUGCUUGAAAAAAAUGAUGUUCUAAGAAAGGAGAUUAAAAUUGUUUGCAUGGCCAAAUUUUUACCAGACUUCAGUUCCAUUAUUUCCUGUGUUAUUUUAGUUUCACAAAUGUAUGAUGUUACAUAAUGGAACAUCUCGAGCAUGUAACCUUUUCCUGUUGCUUCUGAGUGGCAGAUUUACUCCAGAUGAAAAUUUAUAAUGUGUGCUAAGGCAGAGCAAUAUAAUUGCAGAACUCAGGAAUUAGAGCAGUACAUUUCAGAACACUGGAAUUUGAACACGUUGAGUUAAAUGAAGUAGAACUCUCACGGUGCCGUGAGCACAGCCUGUGUAGCCCGAUACGAAUAGGCUCAUAUCUUGGAUGGAUGUGUCAGCUCUUGGAUGUUUGGCAAGGUACUUACCCUCUUUGUGCCCCAGUUCCCUCACGGGGGCACCUGGAUGGCUCAUUUGGUUGAGCAUUGGACUCUUGAUUUCAGCUCAGGUCAUGAUCUCGUAUUUCCUGGGAUGGAGUCCUGGGUUGGGCUCCCCGCUGGCCGUGCAGAGCCUGCUUGGGAUUCUCUCUCCACCUGUCUCUUAGCCUCUCCCUGCUCACACCCUCUCUUCUCGCUCUUUCUCUCUCUCAAAAUAAAUAAACAUUUUUAGAAAGUAAAUGAUAAUACAUGUCUUACAGAAUUGUUUGUGAAUUAAAUGAUCUGAUACUAUAUUGUAAAAUAUAUACUACAAUUUAAGUGCACAAUAAAUGUUGAUUUUAUACACACAUCAGAAAUACUAUGAUGAAGUGUUCUAGCUGUAAUAAUUCUGACAGGCUUACACUAUUCAUAUUCUAAAUUAAUAUUUAAAUAAUAAAAUAUGUACAAACCAUCAACUGUAAAAUAGUUACUUAAAACUCCUAUGC
ensembl:lncRNA